rnacentral:tRNA from 1 species
GAGGGUAAAUCUCAGUGGUAGAGUGUGUGCCUAGCAUGCAGGAGGUCCUAGGUUCAAUUCCAAGUACUUCUA